GUGCACAUAAUUCAGCAGCACAUAGGUUAAAAUUGGAACAGUACAGGGAUUAGCAUGAUCUCUAUACAAGGAUAACAUGCAAAUUCAUAAAGCAUUCCAUAUUUUA